rnacentral:rRNA from 1 species
UACAGAGGGGGCAAGCGUUAUUCGGAAUUAUUGGGCGUAAAGCGCGCGCAGGCGGUCCUUUAGGUCUGAUGUGAAAGCCCACGGCUCAACCGAGGAACUGCGUCUGAUACUGGAAGGCUUGAAUCCGGGAGAGGGAUGUGGAAUUCCAGGUGUAGCGGUGAAAUGCGUAGAUAUCUGGAGGAACACCGGUGGCGAAGGCAGGUCUCUGGGCAUUAACCGACGCUGAGGAGCGAAAGCAUGGGGAGCGAACAGG